rnacentral:lncRNA from 1 species
UUAAUUGUACUCGGCCUCAAAUAAAUAGAAUUCUCCUAUAAUUUAAAAAUAAAAAUCAUUAAAACAAAUUUAUUUAAAUGUAACACUUACAAUUGUAAAAUAAUAUUAAAACACAAACUUUCCCUUCUUAUAUAUAUAAUCUAUUUUUCCAUUCUGUAUAAUAUUCUUUCAUGAAAAAUACAACACAUUAUCUUGUCAAGUCAGUUUUAGCUUUUAAUAAACCAACAUGUCAAUUUCUCCAAUCAUAGUUGCUUUUUUUUUUGUAAGUACAUUAUUAUUUAGCUUAUUUAUACAACGAACCCCUAGACCUCUUUUAUAACAUUUUGAGCCAAUUUAUUGUAAUAAUUAUUAAGCAUAUAUAUAACAAUUCUAACAACAAUGAAAACAUUAUAUCUCCUCUAAAAAAUAAAACAUUCAUCUUUCAUAUCACAUUCCAAUAUUAAUUCUUAAAUAAUGAUAAUAUAUAAUGAACACGUUACAAGGUAUUAUUCUCAAGGAAUUCUCAAGGUACACUUUAUUCUGUUAACUUUGCACCAUUUUAUAGCAACAAAACUAUCUAAUCUUUUCAUUUUUCAACUCUAAAGUUGGUUUAUUAUAUUCGAAUAGUCACUUUGCACCAUUUUAUUUUUCACUUUAAUUUGCACCAUUUUAUUGCACAUACUAUAAAGCAAGUUGGCUACAUAAAUCAAUUUAAUUUUAGUGUUACGUAUAAAUUAACUUACGAAACAGGACAUCACACUAAAUUAUGUUCUAAAUUUUGAAUUGAAGUCAAAUUUUGCAAUAUGGACUGCACUAAUAUCAACUAUGCUAUAUACACAUUGGGUUUCGAAUCUAUUAAUGAUUUUCUUAAUAACCCAAUUCAAUUAUAUUAUUACUAAUCUCACAUUAGUUAUUUGAAUUUCUCCAACUCAAAUAGACAUAAACAAGUACAAUCACGCUUGUUAUCUAUUUAAUCUAAAAUAUAUACCAUCAGAUAACUUAGAAUACCGCCGGAAAAGAAAAAANUACCUCCGGAAAAGCUUAAAAUACCAUCGACCGAUAUUUUCAAGUAUUCUAACAAUAUACUCAAAUCACGAUGGUAUUUUUGAUUUGCAACGACGGUAUUACAAUUUUAUGCGACGGUAUUACAAUUAUUUACGGCGGUAUUAAAAUCGACUAACUAAUAAUACCUCCUGCGGUGCAUCCAUGACGGAAAUGGAGAGAAGCUGACGAGAUUUCAGGUGGUAGAAAGCUGAUACUUCGCCGGUAGAGAUCCGAGAGGGAGUCAAAGAACGUCCACCGGAAAAACGGAGCCGGCUAGGAUCUGAGAGGCUGAGCUCGUUCAGAGCCUGAGUUCGCCGGUUGAAAGCUUGAGUUUGUUGAAAGGCGAGAGGGAGAUGACAACAGACGAGAGGGAGACGGCGAGAGGCGACAGAAAGCUUGAGUUUGUUGAAAGGCGAGAGGGAGACGACAACAGACGAGAGGGAGACGGCGAGAGGCGACAGGGAGAUGGCGAGGCGGAGAUGGCGAAGACGGCGAGGCGAAGGGAGACGGCUUGCGGCGG